rnacentral:rRNA from 1 species
UACGUAGGGUGCGAGCGUUAAUCGGAAUUACUGGGCGUAAAGCGUGCGCAGGCGGUUUUGUAAGUCAGAUGUGAAAGCCCCGGGCUUAACCUGGGAACUGCGUUUGAAACUGGGAGACUUGAGUGUGGCAGAGGGGGGUGGAAUUCCACGUGUAGCAGUGAAAUGCGUAGAUAUGUGGAGGAGCACCGAUGGCGAAGGCAGCCCCCUGGGUUAACACUGACGCUCAUGCACGAAAGCGUGGGGAGCAAACAGG